UACGUAGGUGGCGAGCGUUGUCCGGAAUUACUGGGUGUAAAGGGCGUGUAGGCGGGGAUGCAAGUCAGAUGUGAAAUACCGUGGCUUAACCGCGGGGCUGCAUCUGAAACUGUAUUUCUUGAGUGCUGGAGAGGGAAGCGGAAUUCCUAGUGUAGCGGUGAAAUGCGUAGAUAUUAGGAGGAACACCGGUGGCGAAGGCGGCUUUCUGGACAGUAACUGACGCUGAGGCGCGAAAGCGUGGGGAG
rnacentral:rRNA from 1 species